rnacentral:siRNA from 1 species
UGGGGAGUUUGGCUGGGGCG